rnacentral:lncRNA from 1 species
AAGCAAGGAAGAGAGAGAAAGAGAGGAAGAACAAAGGGAAAAACAAGAAAACCUAGGUGGAAAAUUCAAAGAAAAAGUGAAGAAAUCAAGGAAACAAGCUAGGUAAGUUAGAAUUUCUUUAGUUCUCCUUGAUACCUAGCUUACCCAUGCUUUUGUUCUUGAUUUUCAUGGUUGAAUAUUGAGUUAUUAUGAUGAAUUCAAUUCUGAAAAAUGGGUUAGGAGAGAGAAAGUUGUUAGAUUAAUUUGAUUUUAAGUUAUGUUAGUGUUUUAAGUUAGUUUAGCAUAUUUAGAAACAAAACAACAAGAAAAGAAUUUAUUUUCUCCCACAACCAUUAAUGGCCGAAUUUACCAUGUAUGAGUGAGGAUGAGUUUGAUUUUUAUUCUAGGAGAAUUGGUUAAGGAAUGAUGAAUUAUGAGCCUAGAAAAAUAAUGGGAAUUUUCGGAGCAAAAAUACGAAUUUUUACCCACUAGGGGUAUUUUCGUAAUUUGCUGUUGGGACUGAUAAUUUGCACCACACUGAGGGACAUUAAGUUAAUUUGGGUGCAAUUGAGGUAUAGAAACUGAAAAGAAUUAAAUUGGAGUUUAAACGGACCCGUUAGGAAUUUAAUCGGGUGAUAAGACGAAUUAGGCCAAUACCGGGUUUAGAUAGUUACCAGUGCAUUUUUGCAUUCCAUAUCAUGCAUUGGUAGUCUAAAUUAGUUUAAUUUUGAUUUAGUACCAACUUGGUGAAACUCUCGAUUUUGUAUUGUGUCAAGGUGGUGAGUCCUCCGAUAAAGGCAAGGAAAUUGCAUCCGAGGACCAGUAGACAGAGUGCUUCGAAAGUCUGCAUUCUAGACAUUGUGAGUAAACUUACUGUCAUUUUAAUUAUCUAGGGUGGUUUUUAGAUGCUUUCAUGAAUUCUAUGGAAAAAGGAAUUUAAAAAGAUAAAUUUUCAUGUUUUAUGAAUAAAUGAGUUUCAAUGAAAUUAAAUUAUAAAUUGUUUUGAAAUUAAUAGUGAUUUUGAAAAAUAGAGUACACGGAGACUGUUAAUUGUGGCAAUUUGAUUGUUUAAAUUAACUGGCUUAUGAUAAAUCGAGCAUGAUUGGCUAGUUGGCAAUUGUAUUGAAAUGCGAAUUGUUUGGUUACCUUGAAAAACUACGAAUUACAAAAUUGCCAUAUCAUGUUAUUGAGUUUUAUUAUAUGGUGGAUUAUAUAUUAAUUAAUCACUGCAGUAGGGGGUUUCUGUGGACCAGCCUUUUAGAGGGGCACUGUAAACUCCAUUAUAUUCUUACCUCGAACGGAGAGGCGCGUAGGGUAUCUCCUGGGGUAAAGUUUAGGGUUCACUUCACGCUAAACCACCAAGUGAGGGGGAACUCAGCCAACGCCAAGGAACGGCUAUGUUUUCAAAACAAAAACAUGAUUAAUGUGAAAUGUGAAUUUUAAUAGUUGGUAGGAUGCCUCGGCCAAGGUGUCCCCGAGAAUGGCUUUAUGGCACAAGCCUAGAUUUUUGUGAGAUUCAUAAGCCUUUUUACGUAUUUUGAACGAGAUGUGUUCUAAUUGUAUAACCCAGUUUAUGAUGAUUUACUUUAUUGUCUCCAUGUACUCAACUCUAGAUGUUUAUGAUGAUGUUUGUUUACUCAUUGGGAUUUUAUAAUCUCAACACCCUCCUUUCCACCCAUUUCAGGUUCAGUAUAGACUGUAGAUAGCUGAUCUCAUCGAGGACUACAAUGGGAUCUGUAUUUUCCAAACCGUAGGUUCACAGUCCUCUUUACUUUUGUUUAUUCGGGGGCACUCUUGCUAUUGUAAAUUAAAUUAAAUAUUUUGACUUACUGUAUUUAAGUAUGUAUAAAUUUAUUUAGCUUUUACGCUAUAAAAAUUAUUCACGUAUAACUCUAUAAAUAUUGUUUUAUAAGAAAAU